AGCCAAUCAGAGACGAGUAUAUGUUGAGGUUGGGUUCUCCCAUUUCAGCUCAAUCGUUAAAUACCAUCAGUCAGAGUGGUCAGAACUGCAGCUAUAUUUUCAGUACUUGCCUUUCAAUAUGGCGUCCUUCCACGAAGGAGCGAUGUAUGGGAAGGAAGAUUUUGUCCUUCUCGAUGAAAUUACGAUGGAGGCGUUUAUGGAAAACUUAGAACUACGCUAUAAGAAGGAGAGAAUAUAUACUUAUAUCGGCGAAGUGUUGGUAUCCAUGAAUCCGUACAAAACAUUGAACAUUUACGAAAAGGACAAAAUCGCUGAUUACUCUGGCAGGGAGCUUUACGAGAGACCACCGCAUAUAUUCGCGAUUGCCGAUGCAGCUUACAUCAGUAUGAAACGAAAGAGCAGAGAUACAUGUAUUGUGAUUUCAGGUUGGUGCUUGACAAAAAUACCACAAAUAAUUUGUCGUACUGAACAAAUAUAUGAACGAUACAGUGUUUCAAUUAAUUUUAAAUUCCCCAGAGGCCGAGUUAAGUGUCUCAUUUAUUUACAGCUAAAUCUUUAUAACGUAUUAUUUAUCCUAAUCCACUCAACAACUUAAUCAAGCACAGUGUCAUUG